rnacentral:rRNA from 1 species
GACGAACGCUGGCGGCGCGCUUAACACAUGCAAGUCGAACGGAAAGGCCUGCUUUCCCUUGUGGAUUGCGGGUACUCGAGUGGCGAACGGGUGAGUAACACGUGAGUGAUCUGCCCCCAACUUGGGUAUAAGCCUGGGAAACUGGGUCUAAUUCCCGAUAGGACUGCAGGGUGGUGCCUGUGGUGGAAAACGAUUUUCUAGUGGUUGGGGAUGAGCUCGCGGCCUAUCAGCUUGUUGGUGGGGUAAUGGCCUACCAAGGCGGCGACGGGUAGCCGGCCUGAGAGGGUGGACGGCCACAUUGGGACUGAGAUACGGCCAGACUCCUACGGGAGGCAGCAGUGGGGAAUAUUGCACAAUGGGCGGAAGCCUGAUGCAGCGACGCCGCGUGGGGGAUGACGGCCUUCGGGUUGUAAACUCCUUUCGACCGCGAGGAAGCCACCUGGUUGGAAGGGUGGUGACGGUAGUGGUAGAAGAAGCACCGGCUAACUACGU